UACAGAGGUCCCAAGCGUUAUUCGGAAUCACUGGGCUUACAGAGUUCGUAGGCGGUCUGGAAAGUUGGGUGUGAAAUCCCUCGGCUCAACCGAGGAACUGCGCUUGAAACUACCAGACUCGAGGGAGAUAGAGGAAAGCGGAACUGAUGGUGGAGCGGUGAAAUGCGUUGAUAUCAUCAGGAACACCGGUGGCGAAGGCGGCUUUCUGGGUCUUACCUGACGCUGAGGAACGAAAGCCAGGGGAGCGAACGGG
rnacentral:rRNA from 1 species